rnacentral:rRNA from 1 species
UACAGAGGUCUCAAGCGUUGUUCGGAUUCAUUGGGCGUAAAGGGUGCGUAGGCGGCGCGGUAAGUCGGGUGUGAAAUCUUGGAGCUUAACUCCGAAACUGCAUUCGAUACUGCCGCGCUUGAGGACUGGAGAGGAGACUGGAAUUUACGGUGUAGCGGUGAAAUGCGUUGAUAUCGCUAGGAACUCCGGUGGCGAAGGCGAGGUGCUGGACCCUUUCUGACGCUGAGGCGCGAAAGCCAGGGGAGCGAACGGG